rnacentral:piRNA from 1 species
UGGUGGAUAACUGUGCCUUCCAUAAC